ACGGGAGGCAGCAGUGGGGAAUAUUGGACAAUGGGCGCAAGCCUGAUCCAGCAACGCCGCGUGAGGGAUGACGGCCUUCGGGUUGUAAACCUCUUUCAGCAGGGACGAAGCGCAAGUGACGGUACCUGCAGAAGAAGGACCGGCCAACUACGUGCCAGCAGCCGCGGUAAUACGUAGGGUCCGAGCGUUGUCCGGAAUUAUUGGGCGUAAAGGGCUCGUAGGCGGUUAGUCACGUCGGGAGUGAAAACUCAGGGCUCAACCCUGAGCGUGCUUCCGAUACGGGCUGACUAGAGGUAUGCAGGGGAGAACGGAAUUCCUGGUGUAGCGGUGGAAUGCGCAGAUAUCAGGAGGAACACCGGUGGCGAAGGCGGUUCUCUGGGCAUUACCUGACGCUGAGGAGCGAAAGCAUGGGGAGCGAACAGGAUUAGAUACCCUGGUA
rnacentral:rRNA from 1 species